AUUGAACGCUGGCGGCAGGCCUAACACAUGCAAGUCGAACGGUAACAGGAAGAAGCUUGCUUCUUUGCUGACGAGUGGCGGACGGGUGAGUAAUGUCUGGGAAACUGCCUGAUGGAGGGGGAUAACUACUGGAAACGGUAGCUAAUACCGCAUAACGUCGCAAGACCAAAGAGGGGGACCUUCGGGCCUCUUGCCAUCGGAUGUGCCCAGAUGGGAUUAGCUAGUAGGUGGGGUAACGGCUCACCUAGGCGACGAUCCCUAGCUGGUCUGAGAGGAUGACCAGCCACACUGGAACUGAGACACGGUCCAGACUCCUACGGGAGGCAGCAGUGGGGAAUAUUGCACAAUGGGCGCAAGCCUUAUGCAGCCAUGCCGCGUGUAUGAAGAAGGCCUUCGGGUUGUAAAGUACUUUCAGCGGGGAGGAAGGGAGUAAAGUUAAUACCUUUGCUCAUUGACGUUACCCGCAGAAGAAGCACCGGCUAACUCCGUG
rnacentral:rRNA from 1 species